UACGAAGGGGGCUAGCGUUGUUCGGAAUCACUGGGCGUAAAGCGCACGUAGGCGGAUCUUUAAGUCAGGGGUGAAAUCCCGAGGCUCAACCUCGGAACUGCCUUUGAUACUGGGGAUCUCGAGUCCGGGAGAGGUGAGUGGAACUGCGAGUGUAGAGGUGAAAUUCGUAGAUAUUCGCAAGAACACCAGUGGCGAAGGCGGCUCACUGGCCCGAAACUGACGCUGAGGUGCGAAAGCGUGGGGAGCAAACAGG
rnacentral:rRNA from 1 species